AGUGAACGCUGGCGAUAGGCCUAACACAUGCAAGUCGAACGGCAGCACAGUAAGAGCUUGCUCUUACGGGUGGCGAGUGGCGGACGGGUGAGGAAUACAUCGGAAUCUACUUUUUCGUGGGGGAUAACGUAGGGAAACUUACGCUAAUACCGCAUACGACCUACGGGUGAAAGCAGUGGAUCUUCGGACCUUGCGCGAUUGAAUGAGACGAUGCCGGAUUAGCUAGUUGGCGGGGUAAAGGCCCACCAAGGCGACGAUCCGUAGCUGGCCUGAGAGGAUGAUCAGCCACACUGGAACUGAGACACGGUCCAGACUCCUACGGGAGGCAGCAGUGGGGAAUAUUCGACAAUGGGCGCAAGCCUGAUCCAGCCAUACCGCGUGGGUGAAGAAGGCCUUCGGGUUGUAAAGCCCUUUUGUUGGGAAAGAAAAGCAGCGGGUUAAUCCCCCGCUGUUCUGACGGUACCCAAAGAAUAAGCACCGGCUAACUUCGUG
rnacentral:rRNA from 1 species